rnacentral:lncRNA from 1 species
AGGAGAAGGGGAAGAAAGCCGACUUGACGUAUACGCCAUCUACCCACCAAAGUACCAAACAGACUUAAGCUUGUCUUGUCAAUUGGUGUCUGCUGCAAGCUGUUGGGGUGACGAACAAAGGUUAAAGUGGUGAAACUAAGAAAAAGUCUGACUGACUAUCUCUACUGCAAAGUUCUCAUAAGUUGGUGGCAACAAAAAUUCCCAAGUAGUGCGUAAGCUUUUUCUUCACAUGAAGCAAAUCCGUUACCUUUUUGAACAAUCGACGUCUUCUGCUCCGUGAAUAACAUUAAUUGACAUUACGCUCAAGAGAGAAACGGUUCAGCGAUAGAUGGAACGAAGUAUUUUUGCAUAGCUUCUCACCUGCAUGGAUGACCUGACGCCUUAGAUCCUGCCUUAAGAAGAGCUGGCCGAUUUGACCGAAACAUAUCACUUCUGGGAUGACCUCACCGCAAGAGAGAAGAUUCUCAAAGUGAACUGCAAGAACCUCAGUUUAGAAUGGAUAUGGGCUUUUAAGUUUUUGGAUUUGAGCACAUCAUCAUAGCUAGGAAUGGAAUUGACAACACCUUGCCCAGCCUUGACGUCGUUGAAGCGUGGUUGAAGUUGAACCAGACUCUGACAGUUGGGAUUGCUAAAACUCUGACAUUGUUUCGAAAUCUUUGUAGGAUAAUUGCUUCUCGGUUAUUUCCACUGGCUGCUUAAAAAAAACUCCGUUUACGAGUUCAUGGAUGAAGUUUGCCAUACUUCAUGCAUGAUCAGCUGUAUUUGAAGCAGAUUUGAAGUCAUGCAAGCACUACCAGUUAGAGGAAAGCCACUUCUUUAUGUUGCUGGAAGGUGCUGUUGAUUUGUUCCUUUAAGAAGAUUGAUAGUAACUUGCAUUCAAUUUUUUCACUUAAAUUGUGUUUGAAAUUGGUUUACUUUAUUAAGUUGAAAGUUUGUUUUGAUGUCCGAAGAGAUUGUGACAGCCAACUCUUAACACAACAAGGAGAUUCAAUAUUAUGAAAUGAAAGAUGAAAAUUGUAUUGCAGUUAGCGGCUGUAAUUUGAGUCAGCAUUCUCAGCAACAUAACCAAAAAAAUGUGGCGAUAGUGUUUUUAUUAUGAAUAAGUGUGUAACAAAAUAUACAAAAUAAAAGUGAUACUAAAAUUGUG